GGGAAUGUAGCUCAGUGGUAGAGCAUUUGCCUACUGUGCACUAGAUCCUGGGUUCCAUCCCCAGCACCU
rnacentral:tRNA from 1 species